ensembl:ncRNA asRNA:CR45485 antisense RNA:CR45485
GUUCUUGAGAAUGCUCAACUGGGUGAGGCAGUUGUCGCGGUAGUUGCGGCGUUGGGCCAACUGAUCCAGCGGCACCAUCUCGCCCAGCUGCUUGGCCACCUCGACGGCGACGGGGCCCUCCAUUUUCGGUGUCGGUCCCAUUGUCUCGCUAACCGCAUAGAUGGUGUUCGAGUAGCGUUCGAAAUAGUUGGCCAUGCCCUCGGCAUUCAGAUGGGCCGUCUCCAGGGGACCCAGGAAGGCGUAGCGCGGUCCCAGUCCAUUGCUCAUCACGCUAUCGAUGUCCUUGACAUUCAGGAUGCCGGCCUCGACCAAACGCCAUGUCUCGUUCAGGAUGGCAUACUGGAUGCGGUUGAGGGCGAAGCCCUCGAUCUCCCGCGACAGCGUAACUGGUUUCUGGCCAAUCUCCUCCAUCAGGGCACGGGUCUUCUUCACCCAUUCCGGUUUCGUCCACGGCGCAGGCACGAUCUCGACCAGAGGCACGUAGUACGGUGGGUUGACGGGAUGCGAGACCAAAACCUGUUCACGAAAUCAAGCGUAAUUGGGCUUAGUCAUUGCGGCGAUCACAUCGAAAUCCAAAUAAAUGCGAAUCAAAUUGGGCACAAGGACGGCGCAGCUUUAAAUUAAAGCAAUUGCAGCUAAGAAUGUUUCUUAAAACAAUAAGCUGUUUAUCCGCGCUGAAGAGGGAGGGCAGAAAAGUGCUGGUGGAGCUGGAGAGGAUGGUGUUGGGUCCGACGACGGCGUCCAACUGCUUGUAGAGCGCCUUUUUCAGAUCGAGACGCUCGGGGAUGCACUCCUGGACGAAGAUGGCGCCCUUGACCAGCUCCUUGAGGUCGUUGGUGCCGGAGAUGCAGGCGAAUUGCUGGGCGGCGGUCAGUUUGCCGCGUAGCAGGCCCUUGGCCUCCAGAUCCUGCAGCUCCUUCUGCGUGGCAGUCAGAGCGGUGGACACCUGCUCGGGCAGGAUGUCGUACAGCACCACCUGGUAGCCCACCGAGGCGAACAGCAUGGACCAGGAGCGACCAAUUAGACCGCUGGAAUGGUAACACCGCCAGUCAGCACCUGGAUAUCCUAGCGAAUAACAGCUUCCUGCUCCAACUCACCUGCCCACAAUGCCAACUUUCUCGUUCUUUGCCGACAUCUUUGUUUAUUUACUUUUGCCGAUUUACUUCGGUGGAGUUGGAUUUAAGAAGGAGCUAUGGAGGAGCUAUUGCUGUCGACCGCCACUUGGCACAGCGUACAUGCGUUUGAGCAAUUAGACGGCAGCGCAACCGGUUUAAUAUUCGGCGAUAACCACGCCAGAGGUGAACCCAAAAACGAGAACGAGACCCGAGCCCAAGUGUUUGUGGGGUGUUUGCGGACGCGCUUGAUGGGUGUCGCUGGAGAUUUCGGAGGAGAUAGUGGGCCGUGCGAUAACAAUGCCGCCCCGUUGGGCAAUUGGACGAUGCUGCCACGCCCACAGCGCUGUAUACACAUCAUUGAGCUGCCGCGUACCUUGCAUUUAGUGCAUUUAGGCUUUGAAUGCAGGCCCUAAAGUUGUUGAAAUUAUGUAU